GAUGAACGCUAGCUACAGGCUUAACACAUGCCAGUCGAGGGGAAACGGCAUCGAAAGCUUGCUUUUGAUGGGCGUCGACCGGCGCACGGGUGAGUAACGCGUAUCCAACCUGCCCAUCACUUGGGAAUAACCUUGCGAAAGUAAGACUAAUGCCCAAUGACAUCCCACGAAGGCAUCCGAAUGGGAUUAAAGAUUUAUCGGUGAUGGAUGGGGAUGCGUCUGAUUAGCUUGUUGGCGGGGUGACGGCCCACCAAGGCAACGAUCAGUAGGGGUUCUGAGAGGAAGGUCCCCCACAUUGGAACUGAGACACGGUCCAAACUCCUACGGGAGGCAGCAGUGAGGAAUAUUGGUCAAUGGGCGAGAGCCUGAACCAGCCAAGUAGCGUGCAGGAGGACGGCCCUAUGGGUUGUAAACUGCUUUUAUAAGGGAAUAAAGUGGGUCACGUGUGACUUUUUGCAUGUACCUUAUGAAUAAGGACCGGCUAAUUCCGUG
rnacentral:rRNA from 1 species